CCCUUAGAUGUUCUGGGCCGCACGCGCGCUACACUGAUGCAUUCAACGAGCCUAUCCUUGACCGACAGGUCCGGGUAAUCUUUGAAUCUGCAUCGUGACGAGGAUAGAUUAUUGCAAUUAUUAAUCUUCAACGAGGAAUGCCUAGUAGGCGCAAGUCAUCAGCUUGCGUCGAUUACGUCCCUGCCCUUUGUACACACCGCCCGUCGCUCCUACCGAUUGGGUGUGCUGGUGAAAUGUUCGGAUCGGCCGUUUGUCGCGGUUUCCGCGGCUCGUGGCUGAGAAGUUCAUUAAACCCUCCCACCUAGAGGAAGGAGAAGUCGUAACA
rnacentral:rRNA from 1 species